rnacentral:tRNA from 1 species
GGAGCGGUAUCGAAGUGGUCAUAACGGGCUGCAUYSAAUCAGUUAAGGCCGAAGGUGCUCGUCGGUUCGAAUCCACCCGCUCCGCCA